GACAUACAAGUAGUAGGGAAGGAAACUGGACCGACCCUUCGGGAGGCUUGUACAGGUGCUGCAUGGCUGUCGUCAGCUCGUGUCGUGAGAUGUUCGGUUAAGUCCGCUAACGAGCGCAACCCUCGCUGUGUGUUACAAGUGUCACACGGAACUGCCGGUCAUAAACCGGAGGAAGGUGGGGAUGACGUCAAGUCAGCAUGGCCUUUAUAUCCUGGGCUACACACACGCUACAAUGGGAAGGGACAAUAGGUUGCGAAGCCGCGAGGCGGAGCCAAUCCAGCAAAACUUCCCUCAGUUCAGAUUGCAGGCUGCAACCCGCCUGCAUGAAGUUGGAGUUGCUAGUAAACGCAGGUCAGCCAUACUGCGUUGAAUACGUUCCCGGGGCGUU
rnacentral:rRNA from 1 species